UGUGUAGGCCUCCGUGAAGCCUGAAUUCGAGUAGGCUGGCAAGCCCCAGGAAGAAGGCUGGCAGUCGGAGUGGCCACGACAGCUCUCUGCAGCAGACCCUCUUCCCAGGCCAGACAGCUCAGCCUUGGCCAGGUAGAAGAUGAAUUCCUUGAUGUGGUUACCCCCCCCCUUACAGGGAUUUGACAAGCUGAACCUAAGGACAGCCCACUACACACCCCUUGCGGCUGCAGUCACUUGAAAAGAGAGACUGCUGAGUAUGUGAGGCAAGUUCCUCGGCAGACUCAGAGUACAUCUUGCCCCUGCUGUGUUUUCCCUGCAACUUGGUCAUGGCAUUCAGUAACUGGAAUGAGUCCGGAGCGUCUGAAACCCACGAGCGUAAAUGGGGGGUGACGUUCCUCUCCCUACCUGCACGGUGGCAGGAUACGCAGAUUUGGAUGGUCCAGGAACCGCCUCUGGGAAAGGAACUAUUUUCUGGGAGUCUGGCUUCCUGAGGAAGAAGAAGAAGAAGAUGAUGAUGGGUCCCUCCUGGGUCUUGGACACCUUGGCCCUUGGAUGACCUGGACUGUUGGAGAGACUUAUCCUGCCAAUCUUGAAACCAGGUCUGCCAUGUGGGUGGUUCUGUUUAAAGCACACCUGAAGGCGGGGUGGAGGGGGCAUCCCCAUGAAGGUCAACUGGUACCAGGGGCUCCACCGCGGCUGGUCUCUUUGGCCCUGUCAUGUCUGGGUGUGACACACCCUCCAAAGAAGGGCUUCGAGGCCCCGCCCCCGUGCCAUCCGAUGUGCCCGCUCCGAUUUGGAACCUUUCUUGGCCUCUACAGCCAGAUGGAGGCAGCUGUGGAGGCCCCUUCGCGUUGCUCUCGCAGCAACUCCUCACUGCAUCGCAGCCUCUGUGGCCCCGAUCAAGCCCUCUGGAUGGGGCAGGUGGUUUCCUGGCCAGCCGGUGAGGCCGAUGAGAAGGCAGGAGCGAUGAUGCCGCCGGGAGAGGGACUCGGGCUUCCGUGGCGCUUCCCUGGUUCCCAGGCGGGUUGCAGUUAGGGAUAAAAGAAUUCUCUGAAAUAGUCUCCUCAAUGGUAGUCAAUGCAUUGGUGAAUAUUCUUUUCCAAGUUGGUGGUAGACUUGCAAAACCUGUCUUAAAGAUCAAAUGGAUAGGCUAAUGGCCCUUUCCCCCGGCUUCGGCUGAUACGCCAGCUGCGUCCGUUUCUUGAGAUGAAAGACCUCAGAACAGUUGUACAACUGCUGAUCAUCUCCGGACUAGAUUACUACAAUGCGGUCUAUGUGGGGCUGCCUGUGUACCUAGUCCAGAAACUGCAGUUGGUCCAGAAUGCGGCAGCCAGGUUGGUCUCUGGGACAUCUCGGAGAGACCAUAUUACUCCUUUUUUGAAAGAACUGCACUGGCUGCCGAUACGUUUCUGGGAAAAAUACAAGGUGUUGGUUAUUACCGUUAAAGCCAUAAACCCUGAGUAUUGAAGAGAACGUAUUAGUUCCUGGGUAUUGAAGAGAAUGUCUUCUUCACCAUGAGCCCCACAGCCUGUUAAGAUCAUCUGGAGAGGUUCGUCUGCGGCUGCCACCACCUUGUUUGGUGGCUACUCGGGAACGGGCCUUCUCGGUUGCUGCCCCUGGACUUUGGAAUGCACUCCUUGUUGAAAUAAGAGCCUCCCCAUCUCUGACACCUUUUCAAAAGGCACUGAAGACACAUUUAUUCACCCAGGCUUUUAAUUAGAUUGAUAGUUUUGAAAUUUUAAUACUGGGUUUCAAAUGUUUUAAAUCUUUUAAAUGAUUUUAAUUGAAAAUUGAUUUGAUGUUUUAAAUCAUUUUAAUUUUAAACCGCCCAGAGACACAAGUUUUAGGUGGUAUAGAAAUAUUUUAAGUCAAUAAAAGGAUGGAAGUAAAGUGAUGGGGAGGUAUAUGCAGGCACAGUGACUUAACGGUGUAGCCUUAAGUAGAGCUCAAGCUUCCAGAUUUCCCCUCUCCUCCCUCCCCUCCUCUCUCUUCCCUCAGGGAGCAGGAGAAAUUCU